GAUGAACGCUAGCGGCAGGCCUAAUACAUGCAAGUCGGACGGGAUUGGAGAGCUUGCUUUCCAUGAGAGUGGCGCACGGGUGCGUAACACGUAUGUAACCUACCUUGUUCAGGGGGAUAGCCUCUCGAAAGAGAGAUUAAGACCGCAUAACAUUGCGAUGUGGCAUCACAUUGUAAUCAAAUAUUUAUAGGAACAAGAUGGGCAUGCGGAACAUUAGCUAGUUGGUAAGGUAACGGCUUACCAAGGCUACGAUGUUUAGGGGAUCUGAGAGGAUGACCCCCCACACUGGUACUGGGACACGGACCAGACUCCUACGGGAGGCAGCAGUAAGGAAUAUUGGUCAAUGGGCGGAAGCCUGAACCAGCCAUGCCGCGUGCAGGAAGACGGCCCUAUGGGUUGUAAACUGCUUUUGCAGAGGAAUAAACCUUGGUACGUGUACCAAGCUGAAUGUACUCUGAGAAUAAGGAUCGGCUAACUCCGUGCCAGCAGCCGCCGUAA
rnacentral:rRNA from 1 species